GAAAGGAAAGAAAGAGCCCUCGAGAAAGGUAGAAAGGCAUUCCAGGAAGAGUAGCAUGAUCUUAUCAAAGUACCUAUCAAAUCUAGCUCAACAACGCGAAGGCAGUCACCAUUAGGCCUGCUAUGACGUACAUUCUGGCCCGACGGACACAGCAGUACUCGGUCCAGUCCAAGUCCCGGCUCUGCUGACAGCCAGCACUUGGAGGAGGAUGAAGUGACAUGAUGAAAGCAUCCUGGGAAGGCUGAUCACAAUCCAGGAAGCUGACGUCAGUCUAUUAGCGUGCCCCUGGGCACGGCUACAGUGGGCGGCAGAACUUCUAGGCAAAGUAAAAGGCUCUUCUGACCA